rnacentral:tRNA from 1 species
GCACCCGUAGCUCAAUUGGAUAGAGCACCAGACUACGGAUCUGGGGGUUAGGAGUUCGAAUCUCUUCGGGUGCGCCA